rnacentral:rRNA from 1 species
GAUGAACGCUAGCGGCAGGCUUAAUACAUGCAAGUCGAGGGGCAGCAGGACUGUAGCAAUACAGUUGCUGGCGACCGGCAAACGGGUGCGGAACACGUACGCAACCUUCCUUUAAAUGGGGGAUAGCCCGGCGAAAGCCGGAUUAAUACCACGUAACAUUAUGAAGUGGCAUCAUUUUAUAAUUAUAGCAGCAAUGCGUUUAAAGAUGGGCGUGCGCCUGAUUAGGUAGUUGGCGGGGUAACGGCCCACCAAGCCUACGAUCAGUAACUGGUGUGAGAGCACAACCAGUCACACGGGCACUGAGACACGGGCCCGACUCCUACGGGAGGCAGCAGUAAGGAAUAUUGGUCAAUGGACGAAAGUCUGAACCAGCCAUGCCGCGUGGAGGAUGAAGGUCCUCUGGAUUGUAAACUUCUUUUAUCUGAGAAGAAACCCAGGAAUUCUUUCCUGGUUGACGGUACCAGAUGAAUAAGCACCGGCUAACUCCGUGCCAGCAGCCGCCGUAAGAC